rnacentral:rRNA from 1 species
GCUCAAAUUUGAAAUCUGGCGUCUUUCAGGCGUCCGAGUUGUAAUCUAUAGAGGCGUUUUCCGCGCCGGACCGCGUCCAAGUCUCUUGGAAUAGAGUAUCAAAGAGGGUGACAAUCCCGUACUUGACGCGACAACCGGUGCUCUGUGAUACGUUCUCAACGAGUCGAGUUGUUUGGGAAUGCAGCUCUAAAUGGGUGGUAAAUUCCAUCUAAGGCUAAAUAUUGGCGAGAGACCGAUAGCGAACAAGUACCGUGAGGGAAAGAUGAAAAGCACUUUGGAAAGAGAGUUAAACAGCACGUGAAAUUGUUAAAAGGGAAACGAUUGAAGUCAGUCGUGUGAAAGGUAUUCAGCCGUCUCUGGCGGUGUAUUUGCCUUUCACGGGUCAACAUCAGUUUAGUCCGGUAGAAAAAGGCUGGAGGAAGGUGGCACCCUCGGGUGUGUUAUAGCCUCCUGUCAUAUGUGCCGGAUUAGACUGAGGAACGCAGCUUGCAGCAAUGCCGGGGUUCGCCCACGUACAAGCUUAGGAUG